rnacentral:rRNA from 1 species
GAUGAACGCUGGCGGCGUGCCUAAUACAUGCAAGUCGAGCGAACGGACGAGAAGCUUGCUUCUCUGAUGUUAGCGGCGGACGGGUGAGUAACACGCGGAUAACCUACCUAUAAGACUGGGAUAACUUCGGGAAACCGGAGCUAAUACCGGAUAAUAUUUUGAACCGCAUGGUUCAAAAGUGAAAGACGGUCUUGCUGUCACUUAUAGAUGGAUCCGCGCUGCAUUAGCUAGUUGGUAAGGUAACGGCUUACCAAGGCAACGAUGCAUAGCCGACCUGAGAGGGUGAUCGGCCACACUGGAAUUGAGACACGGUCCAGACUCCUACGGGAGGCAGCAGUAGGGAAUCUUCCGCAAUGGGCGAAAGCCUGACGGAGCAACGCCGCGUGAGUGAUGAAGGUCUUCGGAUCGUAAAACUCUGUUAUUAGGGAAGAACAUAUGUGUAAGUAACUGUGCACAUCUUGACGGUACCUAAUCAGAAAGCCACGGCUAACUACGUGCCAGCAGCCGCGGUAAUACGUAGGUGGCAAGCGUUAUCCGGAAUUAUUGGGCGUAAAGCGCGCGUAGGCGGUUUUUUAAGUCUGAUGUGAAAGCCCACGGCUCAACCGUGGAGGGUCAUUGGAAACUGGAAAACUUGAGUGCAGAAGAGGAAAGUGGAAUUCCAUGUGUAGCGGUGAAAUGCGCAGAGAUAUGGAGGAACACCAGUGGCGAAGGCGACUUUCUGGUCUGUAACUGACGCUGAUGUGCGAAAGCGUGGGGAUCAAACAGGAUUAGAUACCCUGGUAGUCCACGCCGUAAACGAUGAGUGCUAAGUGUUAGGGGGUUUCCGCCCCUUAGUGCUGCAGCUAACGCAUUAAGCACUCCGCCUGGGGAGUACGACCGCAAGGUUGAAACUCAAAGGAAUUGACGGGGACCCGCACAAGCGGUGGAGCAUGUGGUUUAAUUCGAAGCAACGCGAAGAACCUUACCAAAUCUUGACAUCCUUUGACAACUCUAGAGAUAGAGCUUUCCCCUUCGGGGGACAAAGUGACAGGUGGUGCAUGGUUGUCGUCAGCUCGUGUCGUGAGAUGUUGGGUUAAGUCCCGCAACGAGCGCAACCCUUAAGCUUAGUUGCCAUCAUUAAGUUGGGCACUCUAAGUUGACUGCCGGUGACAAACCGGAGGAAGGUGGGGAUGACGUCAAAUCAUCAUGCCCCUUAUGAUUUGGGCUACACACGUGCUACAAUGGACAAUACAAAGGGCAGCGAAACCGCGAGGUCAAGCAAAUCCCAUAAAGUUGUUCUCAGUUCGGAUUGUAGUCUGCAACUCGACUACAUGAAGCUGGAAUCGCUAGUAAUCGUAGAUCAGCAUGCUACGGUGAAUACGUUUCCGGGUCU